rnacentral:lncRNA from 1 species
AAAAAAAAGCAUAUGUACUCGAAAGAAAUAGAUGUACAUAAGAGAAGGUAAAAGAAAAAUGAGUUGGUGUAUUAAAGUUCAUUAUUCCGAAGGUUCGAUGCAAGCUGAGUCUAGGGUUUUUAGCCUAAAUUCAUCUAUCUUUUACCUACCCCUAGCCUAGCCACGCUACAACCUAUUUAAAAGACCUACUAAUUCAAAUUUUUGUGCUACCCACAUUAGUGGAGAGAAAUUGCUAUGUUUAACAUAUGAAGGCAUAAAUUAAACUUAAAGAUUGUAGCUAAUCUUAAAUAAGAUAAAAUCAAAUUGGUAGGGAUUUAACAUAUCUUUAUUGAGAAAGCAUUUAGUCUAUUUUUUCUAUCAUAAUAAUAAUUGAGAUUAAUUUGAACGAUAUGUAUACUUAAGCAGCAUAAAUCUCAAAAUUUAUGUUCUUGAGCAUAAGUAUACUAACUUCAUAAUUAUGGGAAGAAUGUUUUCUAAAGAAAAUUUUCAAAGGUGUUUACAAAAUAUUCUUUUCAAUUUGUGCAUUACUCGGGACGAACAAUGAAUUAAGUUUGAGGGUGUGGAAACACAAAAAUAUACAGACCUUUUCAUGCCCUUUUUAACUCAAAUCCACGUCCACUCAUUAGUAUCACAUAAAAGGAUUAAUUCCCCUUGGAUCUAAUAAACAUUAUAAACUUGAUUAAAAAAUGCAAGCAUAAAUAAUAGAUCAAGAAUAAAGUUAAGAAGAAUUCUGAUAUGCAUUAAUAAUUGUGAGAACAGAUGUAACACCCUUAACCCGACUCGAGUCACCGGAUCCGGAUCAUUGGUGUUAUCACACAAAACAUUUAGUCAAAUUCACCAAACUGCAUUAGGUAACCUCUUAUUUAAAAGAUACUCUUUGUAAUUACAUUUAAAGACUAAAACUCAAGAAACAAAUAUGGUACUUAAACAUAAAAUAUUACAAAGAACAAUAAAUCUUUCUUAAAACAACCAUAUGAUAGUUACAGAUUCAUUAAAAUAGAAUCCUACUAAUCUACCACAAAUUGAUGUGGAAAAUUAGGCUUUUUCGAUACACUUAAGGAGCUUUUUCUCAAGCAAAAUAGAUUUUUUAGCUUAGUUUUUCGUUAUUUUUGUAUUUUUAUAUUGUUCAAGUAAUAAGUGAAAAUCUCUCAUUUUUGUCUUUUUUUUACCCAAAUUCGUCGAUAGUGCCAUUGGGAGGUCUAACGAGUGUUUGAGUGAUCUAGGGACAUCUAAGAGGUCGAAAACAAGUGAGAACGACAUUUAGGGCAAUAGUAUCGUGAUACCUCCAGUAGUAUAGGAAACCAAGGAGACAAUUAAUUAGUAUCACGACAUCCUCUUUGGGUAUCGUGAUAUCCCACCUCUCAAGGAAGACCCCAAGUUCAAUAUUACCCGAGAUAUCGUGAUAUCCUUUUCUAGGUAUCGUUAUAUCAUCUUUGUCUACUCGACCCACCAAUCACAUAAGGCCCGUCUAGGGGAAAUUUGGCAUCAAAAAGUCAUCAAAACACCAUUCAAAAUAGCCAAAAAUUGUUGAGGAAAGAGACACAUUUUAGCUAGUUUUAGGUUUAGUUUUCUCUAGGUUUUCUUUAGUUUUUCUCGCACUUUUCUAGGGUUUUUACUUUUCUCUUAUUCUACCUUAGAUUAGAGUUUAUUUUUCUACAUUUACUUCUUGUUCUUGAUGUUCUUUAUAUUAGUUAAGUUAGUUAAUACUAUAGCUAAGGUUUAUUUACAUUUCCAAUUCAUUUACCUUGCUUUCAAGACUCUUUAAGCUUUAUUUUAAUGUAUUUCAGUUUAUUUUACUUCAAAUCUAUUAAAGCUUGUUCUUUUUAUGUUUCUUAUUUUAUAUUUCUUCAUUAAAUUCUUUUGGUUUCAUGUUAUUUGAGUUUUCUUGCAUAAAAAUCUCAACUUUCACAUUUUUCUUAAGCUUUACUUUCAUGGCUACUUUGUUUUCUAUUGUUAUGUUUAUUUUCUUGACUUUGAGCAUGUGUAGCUAAAUCCUCAAUGAGGUUGGUUGAUGGAGAUGUGGAUAAACUAAAAUCUUUGAACAAAGGACAAAUCGUAACAAAUUGGAGUAAUUUGAAUAGAACUAAGAACUUAGGUUGUGACGCCCCUAAGGGAAUAUUAAGAUAAAGUGAGACCGAAAGGUAAUCUUAUCGCGCAUCCAUUCAUUAGUCCCGAUUAACCGGUGAGAUCAGAAGAUAAACCUGACUUAAUUCGUUUAAGUCAGUAAAAUUAAGAUCGGAAGAUAAAACGAAGCCACUUGGUAAUUACGCGAUUUAUGUCCCGAGUCCGAGAUUUGGUGAACCACAUCGAAGUCAACCAACCCCUAUUAGUCAUUUAAUAGAUAGUCCAUCUAGUUUAAUUUCUUGCAAUUUAGUCUCUAGAAUAGAAUAUUUAAUUUUCUAGCAAACUUGUCUUUUAUGAAUCACCGUAAUAUAAAAUCGUAUUAGUAGCCACUUGUCCUCUAUUGUGUAUGCUAGUUAUUGCUCAACUGCUUCUUCCUUUGGGUUCGAUCCUUGGAAUACUUCGAUGUUUCAUUGUAACAUUAUAAAUAUUACAACUGACUUGUAUGCUUGCAGUAAAAUCAUACUUUAAAAAUUGUUUCAUAAAUUAGUUGUUUUAAUGUGCACGCGUCCAGUUGGUCAAGCUGUUGGCAUCGUUGUCGCGAAAGACGGUGUAAGAUUGAGUAAUUUUUAGUGUACAUUUUUAGGUAGAGAUAAGUAGUCAAAGUAGGAUUUAUAGAUACGGCUUUAUUUUCUAUUUAUUUUUCUGUUAUUUAAAUUUUAAUUAACCUUCUUCAAUCUCUCGUGCUUGUAGGAACAUUGUAAGACACGAACCGGUAAUAGUGUCAUGCCAUUUGAGCCGAAAAUGAACAUGCUAGAAGGGCACAACAACCAAGAGAGCAACCCAUUGAAAAUCCAUAAGAAGAAAUUCGACAACCACCACAACUAACGAUGGAGCAAAAAACUUUGUGCAACUAUGCGAUGCCUAACUUAGACAUUGUUCUAGGUAGAAUUAAUCGUCCGGCUAUUAAUGCUAACAACUUCUAAAUUAAACCGAAAAUUAUCCAAAUUAUACAGUCGAAGCUUCAAUUUCGAAAGUCAAUGAAUGAGGAUCCAAAUCAACACCUUAAGCAAUUUGUAACUAUUUGUGAUACUUUCAAGUAUAAUGGAGUAUUCGAUGAUGUUAUCCAUCUUCAGCUAUUCCUUUUAUCUAUUACUGGUGAUGCUUUUAUGUGGUUAGAUUCACAGCCGGUAGAUUCAAUCAACACUUGGGAUAAGUUAGUGAACAAAUUUUUGGCAAAAUAUUUUCCACCAAGAAAGACGAUAAAACUUUGGAUGGACAUUACAAAUUUUUGACAAUUGGAAGGUCAUUAUACGAGGCUUGGGAGCACUUCAAAUUGAUGUUGCGCAAGUUUCCAUACCAUGGUUUACAAGAUUGGCUGCAACUUCAAGUCUUCUAUAAUGGACUUGAUGGGAAUUUAUGCUCUAGUCUUGGCGGAGUAUCCGCUAGAGCAUUCAUGUCAAUGACUUACACCUAGGCUUGUCAACUCAUCGAGGAUAUGGCAAUGAAAUCUUACAUGUGGUCGGCUAAGCAGUUCACAUAUCGAGCCAAAAAAGUGGCAACAAACGCUGUCACUAGCGAGAAUAAGUAUAAACAAGUCCUCGAGAGGAUUAAUUAAUUGGAGACAAAUGCGACCAAGUCAUAAGUCUAAAACCAAACCAAUCUAACCAAUUUUAAUGUAGGGCAGGAUGAUGAGAGCAACCAUAUGGAGGCUAAUUAUGUAGGGAGUAGAGGAUAUAACUCUUACUCCAACACUUAUAACCCCCAAUAGUGAGAUCAUCCUAACCUUAGGUGGGGAGGGAACCAAGUGGGACCUUCACAUCAAAGUAACCAAAACGCUAACCCUCUAAAACGCAAUGCACCAUACCAACCUCCAUUACCUUUUAAAGCACCCCAAGACCAAGAAAGAAGCCACCCUCUAUUGUCGAUUAAGGUGAGUAAAUUAGAGGAAGGUUUGCAUGUAGUGCAAGCCGAUGUGACCCAAAUUCGGAGUCAAUUGAACCAAUUUUUGCAGCUAUUGAAAAAAAUUUAACCUCUAGCAUACCUAAUAGUACCGAACCUAAUCCAAAGAGAGAAGGAAAUGAGCAUAUGAAGGAAAUCACCCUUAAAUAUGGGAUUGUGGUUAAGGAACCUAUCUGACCAAAUUGUGGGGAGAAAGAAGGAGGUGAGAAGUACGAGAGCACCCACAAUCCUAAUGUUGGAGAAGGGGUAGCUGAGAAGGAAAAACUCGAGAGUGAACCUACACAAGCCAAAACCGAUGAUAGACAUAUUCCAUCACUACCACCUAGCCCAAAACUCGUAUCCUUUCCGAGCCAUUUAGUGGAGAAGAAGAAAAGAGAUGAUAAGGAUUUUAUAGACUUUCUAAAGAUGUUUAAAGCCUUUAAUGUGAAUCUCCCUUUGUUAGAACUUCUUGAAAAGAUGCCCAAAUGUGCUAAGUUCCUUAGGGAAAUAAUGCCUCGUCAGUGGAAAAUAAGGAGAAGAGAGCAAAUUGUACUUAGCGAAGAAUGUAGUGUGGUAGUGUCUAGGAGAGUUCCUCCCAAACUAAAGGAUCCCGGUAGCUUUACCAUAUUCACUGAGAGAGGAAGAGUAAGUUUCGAGAAGGUCCUGUGUGACCUAGGAGCCAGGAUCAACAUCAUGUUAUUGUCAACUUAUAGGAGGUUAGGUUUGGAAGAGCUUAAGGAAACGAAAUUUACCUUGCAAUUAGUUAACUAAUCUUUAGUAUGCCCCAAGGGAUUCCUUGAAGAUGUGUUAGUGAAGGUUAGACAAUUCAUUUUUCCAGUUGUUUUCAUCAUGCUUGACUUUGAGGAGGAUUUAGAAAUUCUAUUACUCUUAGGGAAACCUUUCUUAGACUCAUCUAAGGCCACCAUAGACGUAGGACGGGGUGAAUUGAUUAUGGAUAUCAAAUGAGAAAUUGAAGUUUUCAACUGUGUCAAGCUCGAGUAUAGGUCUAAGAAAGUACAACCAUCACAAGUGUAUAAGUUCCAAGUGAUUGAGACGAAAGAUUAUCAUACUACCGAAUUUGCAACUUUCAUGGAUCGUGUAUUUUUCAGGUGUUCAUGGGCCACACAAAAGGAUCAGGAAAUGAACAAGGAUAAGAAAUAAGAUACGACUCUUAAGAGGACUUGUGCGCGCGCUGAACAAAAGACAUGUUCGAGUGUUGAUGACACUGGUGAAACACCAUUUCGGUCAUGUGACCAACCGCCCGAAGUUGAAUUUUUAACUCGUCGCUUGUGGCGAAUGAACAAGGAUUUGAAAAUAAUUAGAUGUUUUGAGCAUGGACUGCAUUUAUUUUCUGCAUUUAUAUUAGAAUUUUAAUUUGUGUUAGUUUAGUUUUAAACUUGUUAGGUAGGAUUUUUGAGGAUUGAGAGGGAAAUUGAUGAUUUUGUAGUGUUUUUGGGAUGAGUUCAGUGGAAUCACAAUAUCCAAAAGGGGAUAUCGUGAUUUCCUAGACAGUUUUGGGAGGGACCAAAUAUCUUUUAGGUAUCGCAAUAUCGGACCCCUGAUAUCCUAAUACCCUUGGAAUUUCAAAAGUUAUUUUUUGUUUCACACAGUGGCAUCGCGAUACCCAACCCUCAGUAUCACGAUACCUCAAACAAAAUCGAAUUAGAGGGGUCUAAAAAUAGGGAAUAUCGCAAUUCCAACCCUGGGUAUCCUGAUAUCCAAGUUGGGUUAUGCGAUACCCGAUUUCAGAUAUUGCGACCCAUGUGUUUUGGAGGCUUAAAAAAGCCUUCAAACACCCCAAAACCUUCCAUUCUUCUCAUUUUCCCCCAAAUUUUUAUUCUUAAAUCCCUAUAAACUCUUCCCACUCUCUAUUUUCUCUCAAUCUCUCUUUCGAAUCUUCUCAUAUUUCUUUGAAAUCCUUCUUCUUGUUACUUUAUUUUUCUUGUUUAUUUCUUCUUUUGCAGGUUUUACACUCUUUUGGUUGGGAAACACGAAACUCUGUUGAUUUUAUCAACACGCCUAUAACACAAUUUAAGUGUCCUAGUUCUCUUUUUCCUUGCAUUUUAUAUUAUUGCUUUUGUUAUUAUUUUUGUUGCUUUACUAGAGUUUUAGUGUUGAUUGGUUGUGAAUACAAGAUAGCCUCUAUAUUAUAGUUAGCUUGUUGAGAAUCGAUAAACAUGCCCCCUAAGACUAAAAAGUGAGCUAAGUCCCAACCCGAACCACUUCUGUCACUAGAGUAUGUCUAGGAUAAAUUUAAGUCAAAAGAGGUCGAGGCUUUUUUCUCAAACAUUCAAAGAUGAACUUUUAUCCUUGAAAGAGGCUUCGACCCCUCGGUCUUUGAUUGCGAGGACGUUUGGGACUUAGUCUGUUUCCAUCGUUGGAUGAACCUUGCGAUGGUGUCGACUACACCUGCCGUAAUUCUGGUAGUUUUGGGGUUUUACUCCAAUCUUAUAUUUUCUAAGAAAAAUAAGGUGCAUGUUCGACACAAGAAGGUUGAUCUAUCCCCUAGAGCCACUAGUGAAUAUUAUGGCAUCCCUUAUUAUGAGACUAAUGAUCUACAAGCCAUGGAUUUGAACAACUUUGAAAAUGUUGAUAUGGACGCCAUUUUAUUAUUUUUAACAGAGGAGAUGGGGAAUGGAAAUGAGAGGGGUAUAAUAAUUACCCACUAUCUUUUAAGCAAGCUAUAAUGUUUCCCACUGCUAAGAUGUUGAUGUAAUUCAUUUAUACUUAAAUCUCACCAUUACUCAACACUAAUAUUGUUAAUGUUUUCCAAGCUACUUCGUUGUAUUGUAUUUUGCAAUGUAAACGAGUUAGCCUUGGGAAGUGGGUUCAUAAAGAGAUCCAUAAAUGUAUAUCUGGCAUCAAGGUUGGGAUAUAUUUCCUUCAUUUAAUCACCGAUUUAUGUCGUUGUGCUAGAGUGGUGAUGGGAUCUAUAAAAUAAUUUCAUCGUCCCACCACCAGUAUUAUUAUUGAAGACACCCUCAUGCAUCAAUUCCAAGAGCUUUAUAGAAAGAAAAUACAAGAAUAGAAUCAAAGGUGAAAACAAAUGAUGGAGAUGCCUCCACCCCCACCGAAGAAAUCCAUGAAGGCUUAGUUGAAGAAGACCAAUGAGCCUGCACAAUGGGAGCAUAUGCUAGGCCACGGUGUGCUAUAUAAUGUAAGACUCUUAAAAUCCAUGAAAAUAGGCAUGGACAUGUUUGUGAAGAGCCUAGGAGGACAAAGUAUAUAAUGGUCCAAAUGGUCGAGUGACUUGUCCGAGGGUAAGGAAGACGCGAUCGAGCCAUAGGAGGAGGAUGAGGAAGAAAUAGAUGAUGAGGCCACAGAGGAUGACGACUUCACCUCUUACCAAAGGAACGUUGAGAAUGCAUUUGCAGCUGUAAGGCAACCAAGAGGAGGACCUGUCUUUUGAGAGCCUACCGACCAAGCCCGGAUGCGACCCCCAAAACUCAUUGUGCGCGGCAAAGGGAAAGAUGUUGCAAGACCAAGUGGACAAUUUUAUUUACUUUCUAAUACGACAUGUAAACUAUUGAAUACUUUUAGUUUUUGGAAAAUUUUAAUUUGUGUUGGUUUGUCUUUAUUUGUUUCUUUCUUCUUCUUUUUUUUAUGUGCAGUGAAUCACCCUAGAAGAUUACACAACAAUUAGGGCUUCAACGAGGAGAUGGACACUCGAACUAGUCUGAUGUUCCAUUCUAGGUAAGUCAUGUAACCUCCUAACCUUUAUUUUGUACACAUUGGGGACAAUGUGUAGUCUGAGUGUGAGGGUGCACAUAAGUUUUAUGUGUUCUUAUUUUUUUUAAUGUUUGUUUAUGUGUUUCUUUCAGUUUUUAUGCCUUUUUCAAAAAAAAAUAAAAAAAUUCCAAAAAUAUUUUUCGUUUUUAUUUUUAAAUUUUCCAAAAAUACCCCAAGGAUUGGAAGUUUGGGGGCCUCGGUAUCGCGAUACCCAUGGCCCAGUAUCGCAAUACCACUAUAGAUGGUCUCUGUUCUCCUCAUUUCAGCAUUGUCAGGGUUAUCACGACUUCCAUACUUUGAUAUCGCGAUACCCCCUUCUAGGUGAUAUUUUCUUCACGGUUGGGUCACCUUUGACUCCAUACAAUACUCAAUUAAUUUGUUAGGUUCCCUAUGGCACAAUUGACCAAUUUGGGUCUCAAAAAUGACUUAAAACUAAUAAAAAUAAUUUAUUAACAACAAAACUAAAAAUUGACAAAAAAAAACAUAUAAAAGACACUUAAAUUGCUUGAGAAUAAGCUCCUCAAGUGUAUUAAAGAGCCUAAUUUGACGUAUCAAAUUAUGGCAGGUUAGAACCCUUAAACUUUCAAAUUACAAUCAACGAAGCCCUUUAAUCGUUUAAGUUAACGGACAAUUUUUACAAGUUAAUGACAACCGUUUUUUCUGGAUGCUUUUGCCACGACGCGCGCUAGGAUUGUGCCAUAUGACGAAAAUUGAUAUUUUAUAUUUAAAAUCAUUAAAAAUUAUAAAAAUAUAGAAAAUCAUAAAACUAUAUAAAAAUUAAAAUUUUUAAAAAAUAUUGAAGUGUAAAAGGUAUAAAAAUAUAGAAAUUUAUAAAAAAAAUAUUAUAACUGAAAAAAUAUAUAAAUUGUAAAAAAUAAUUUAAAAAUUGAAAGAAAAUAUUAAAAAUUUUAUAUUAUAAAAAUAUAAAUUACAAAAGAUAUAAAAAAUUUAAAAAUUUUUUAAAUAUAGAAAAAUAUUAAAAAUUGAUAGAGUUGAUAAAAUUUUUAAAAAAUAUUAUAAGAAGCAUAAAAAUUACAAAAUAAAUUAAAAUAUAUGAAAAUUACAAAGAAAACAAACUUUUUUUCAUUUGUACACUAACCAUUGUAAACACUACAACACCUAUUAAAAAUUAUAAAAUAUUUAUUUGAUCCGUGAAGCUACUCGUUGUGCUCUUCCACCAUAGAUCUUUCUAAAGUUUGCACCCCUUUGUGCAUCGUCAAUGAUAGGGGAGUGUUUUGAAAUGUAAAUUAAGGUGGGGAAAUGGGUUAAAAAGGCAAGUGACAAUCAAGAUUGUAUAUAAAAUUGUAAACAUUUCUUAUAGUUUUAUAUUUGUGUAAUUUUAUAUUAUUUUUUGAAUAAUUUUCUUUAAUUUUUUUAUAUUUUUUGCGCUUUUCUGUAUUUUUAUAAUAUUUAUAAUAUUUUUCUAUAUCUUAAACAUUUUUCAUAAAUUUUACAAUUAUUUUACUUUUCAUAAUUUAUAUAAUUAUUUAUUAUGUUAAUAAUUUUUUAAUAUUUUCUGUAUUUUUUUAAUAAUUUUUAAAUUUAUUAUCAUUUAUAUUGAAUAUUAUAAUUUUCUAUAUUUUAUAAUUUUUUCACUUUAAUAUUUUAUUUUUUGUAAUUUUUUAAAAAAUAUUUUUAUAAUUUUUGUAUUAAUUAUUUUUAAAAUUUUUAAUGAUUUUAAAUAUAAGAUACCAAGUUUCGCUACAUGUCAGAGUCCUGACGUCAUUACGAAAACACCUAAAAAAUUGGUUGUUAUUACUUUAUAACAAUUGACCAUUAAAUUUAUGGUAAAAAUUUAAUUAAUUAUAAUUUUAACAUUAAUCACUCAAUUGAACCAUGCCUAAGAACUUAAUUAUUUAUUAGGAAAAAGUUUAAGAACUUUCAACAAUGCCAUCAAUUGACAAAUUCUCAUUAAACAUCAUACUCAAUAUUCAAAUUAAAAUAUUAUAUAAUAGAUUUCUCUUUUCUAUUGCUUCAAUUUCCAUUUUUACCGUUAUUUUGUUUCGUUAAAAUUUGCUCAUUGUAUUUUACUUCUUUUCAUCAAUACUAAUGUGUUGUUAAAGUUUUGAAAGUACCUUCAUAUCUUAUUUUCAUCUAAGUGAAGUUAAGGCUUAUUAUUAUCACCGCUAUAUAUUUUAUUAAAUAUUUCAACACUUUAAGCAAUAACUUUUUAAAUCUUAAUACAUAUAUUCAAUUAAACUAGUUAUUUUUUAAAACCUCAUAAUCAUACUCAUUUAAAAAAAUUUUGAAAAUUAUAAUUACUGAUCUCUUCGUGGAUGAAUAGAAUUGACACAUAAAUCUCUUUUUUUUUUCCUUGACUUGGAGUUCUCUUGUCCACUAAUUUCUCUUACUCAUCACAAGAAUGUAACAUAAAAUUAUUACAAAAAUGCUCAAAAAAUUCCAAUACACCAAAACCUCAAGUAAAACCAUCAAGAUGACGAAAUUUUAAUUUCUUACCUUACUUGAAGCUUUCUUUCACUAUCCGCUUUAAAUUCUAGAUUUAAAUGGAGAAGAUGAUUAUGGAAGCAAGCUUAGAAAUAUAUUUUCUACUUUAUUUUAGGGGGAAAAUCAAACUACGAUGAAAUUUGUGCUUUGAUUGACAAGAGUCAUAUUUGCAAGAGAUAAAUUCUUUUCUCUUGCUUUGGUGGACGGCACAAUGG